GCCGGCGUUACCGCCCGAAAGGAAGAUGGCGGCGAGGGCCACGUAUCGGGAUUGCCACGGCGUGGGAGGAGGCAAAAAUGGGAAACGAAAGAGGUAUCUCGAGAGAGAAACAGGUUGCAACCAAACAGAGGUAUUUUGCCCCGGGAUUUCCUCUCCCUGGACUUACAGUGAGAAAGGGAUCCUCUGCCUACCGCCCGGACUCCACAAGGAACUCGUUACACCUGCCUUGGGCAGACCCACCCAUCCAGUUCCCGUGCACCGGAAGGCGAUCUGCCUCGGGGUGGGCGGUGUGUCAACCUGCGCGCCUGCCCAGCAGCCGCUAAGCGCUCAAGGGCGCGGUAAAUCCCGGCUGCGCGAUCCCUGCAGAAGCAGUGCGCAUGCGUCGGUGCGCGGGUCAAGGGUCAGCCCACAAAAUGGCUGCGGCGGUGACCUGUCGGCUUCUUGGCCGGGGCGGCGCAGUGGUGUUGAGCCUGCCCCGGGGCGCCCGGUGUUUCGGGAUGCAUGCCUCUCUGGCCGGGGAGAAGGUCACGCACACUGGCCAGCACCUCAGGCCCGCCGACGCCCCUUGGCUUCCUGCGUACCGAGCUGCCUCGGCCUAGCGCUGGCCGCGCGGCCACACACCAUGGGUCCGUGGCGCUGGUCUUGGAGCCUGAGGGUGGGGCCGCCCCGUUCGGAUGACAGCCCAGCGCCCCGUCUGACCCUCUAUCUGCCGUGGGUGGAACCGGCCCGCUGCCGCGCAGUGCUCGUCAUGCCCGUGUCGGAUGACUGCCAUUGUCACCUUAGGGGACUCGCUGAUGAUGUCCUGGCCGCACAGCUCUACCUUGUCCCUCACGUUUGAUUGUUUAUGAUGAUAAAGACUACAGGAAAAUUCGAUUUAUUGGUCGUCAGAAAGAGGUGAAUGAUAACUUCGCCAUUGAUUUGAUAGCAGAGCAACCCGUGAGCGAAGUUGGCAGUCGGGUGAUAGCGUGUGACGGUGGCGGGGGCGCUCUUGGCCACCCCAAAGUGUACAUAAACUUG